rnacentral:rRNA from 1 species
CCUACGGGGGGCAGCAGUGGGGAAUAUUGGACAAUGGGGGAAACCCUGAUCCAGCGACGCCGCGUGAGUGAAGAAGUAUUUCGGUACUUAAAGCUCUAUCAGCAGGAAAGAAAAUGCCGGUACCUGAAUAAGAACCCCCGGCUAACUACGGGCAAGCAGCCGCGGUAAUACGUAGGGGGCAGGCGUUAUCCGGAUUUACUGGGUGUAAAGGGAGAGUAGACGGCAGCGCAAGUCUGGAGUGAAAUGCCGGGGCCCAACCCCGGAACUGCUCUGGAACCUGUGAAGCUGGAGUUCAGGAGAGGUAAGCGGAAUUCCUGGUGUAGCGGUGAAAUGCGUAGAUAUCAGGAGGAACACCGGCGGCGAAGGCGGCUUACUGGACUGUAACUGACGUUGAGGCUCGAAGGCGUGGGGAGCAAACAGGAUUAGAUACCCCUGUAGUC